UUUUGGGAGCUUACUAGCUUCGGAGUCAUGGGAACUCUGAAGUUAAGCGAGUUGGGGUUAGAGCAAUCCCAGGAUGGGUGACCCACUGGGAAGUUGCUCAUGAGUUUCCAGAAA
rfam:Prunus persica cultivar Lovell chromosome G1, whole genome shotgun sequence.